rnacentral:misc_RNA from 1 species
GCUUGAUCUUGAUUUACCAGCAGAGAAGUACAUCGCAGAGAACGAUUCAGACGGAGAAGGCGAGCUUGAGCUGACACUAGCGAUUGGAAGGAGGAGUAAGAAUAAGAAGAAGAAGAACAAAGAGGAAUCGCUUUCCUCGGGAGCGAGUUUUUCGUCAUCGUCACCGGAGUCUAGUGGGGUGAGACUGAAUGGCAAUGAGUGGAUACAGUUCCGGAGUGAUAGAAGGAAUGGGUACAACGUUGAAGA